AUUGAACGCUGGCGGCAUGCCUUACACAUGCAAGUCGAACGGUAACAGGUCUUCGGACGCUGACGAGUGGCGAACGGGUGAGUAAUGCAUCGGAACGUGCCCAGUCGUGGGGGAUAACUGCUCGAAAGAGCAGCUAAUACCGCAUACGACCUGAGGGUGAAAGCGGGGGACCGUAAGGCCUCGCGCGAUUGGAGCGGCCGAUGUCGGAUUAGCUAGUUGGUGGGGUAAAGGCCUACCAAGGCAACGAUCUGUAGAUGGUCUGAGAGGACGACCAGCCACACUGGGACUGAGGCACGGCCCAGACUCCUACGGGAGGCAGCAGUGGGGAAUUUUGGACAAUGGGCGGAAGCCUGAUCCAGCAAUGCCGCGUGCAGGAAGAAGGCCUUCGGGUUGUAAACUGCUUUUGUCAGGGGAGAAAUCUUCUGGGCUAAUACCCCGGGAGGAUGACGGUACCUGAAGAAUAAGCACCGGCUAACUACGUG
rnacentral:rRNA from 1 species